CGGCGGACUCACGCCCCUCCACCUGGCGGCCCUGCAGGGCCACGACAUGGUCAUCAAGGUGCUGGUGGGCGCCCUGGGGGCUGACCCCACGCGCCGCGACUACAGCGGCCACCGGGCCUGCCACUACCUGCGGCCCAACGCGCCGCAGAGCCUGCGGGAGCUGUCGGGGGCCGAGGAGUGGGAGACGGCGGGCCGCAGCGAGCGGAACAAUGCCAACAACAACAGCAGCGGCGCCGCCCCGUGGACGCCGCGACGGUCCCCGAGCUCAGUGGGCACGAACUCCGCGGAGACACAGGCGAGAGCGGCGGCGGCGACCGGCAAGGAGAAGAACUACACGGGCAGCCGGGUGGCGCAGAUUCAGGGCCUCCUCCGCCAAGUGUUCCCCUUCUUCCAGGACCGUUGAGGGCGACAGACACUGGAGAGCGCGGAGGGACGGCGACGCUGCGUCGAAGCCCCUGUCUCGGGUUGUCUUGGGCCGCACCCGGAGGGGUGGCAGCUCUGGCCGCAGCCGAGUGCGCGGGGCCGGCGAGCAGCGGACCACCUACAGGACCAUCUCUUGUUUACUUGACAUGUCAUCUUUCCCACAUCUCCGUAUUCUUGGAAACUUCUGAAGAUACACAGAAAAGCAAACUUAAACAAAAAUCAACAUAAAGAACUGUAGAAAGCACUGGGUGAAGAGAAGCAACCAGAAGAGGACAGAGGCCCAGAGAAGUAAGAUAUUUCUUGAAGCAACCCCAGGACUAGUGGUGCAGCUGUCUUGUUCCCAGCUCAGAGCUGGGGAUGCUCUUGGGAGAUGUCGCCUCAGUCCAUAAGGCUCUCUCUAGGCACCGGCCCACCCACUGGGCAGUCAUGCUUACAUACACAGAACCCUGCCAUUGGGGAUCCCUGGGUGGCGCAGCGGUUUGGCGCCUGCCUUUGGCCCAGGGCGCGAUCCUGGAGACCCGGGAUCGAGUCCCACGUCGGGCUCCUGGUGCAUGGAGCCUGCUUCUCCCUCUGCCUGUGUCUCUGCCUCUCUCUCUCUCUCUCUGUGUGUGACUAUCAUAAGUAAAUAAAAAUUAAAAAAAAAAAAAAGAACCCUGCCA
rnacentral:lncRNA from 1 species